CAGAUGUAGUUUAAUGGCAGAAUGCUAGCCUUCCAAGCUGGUUGUGUGGGUUCGAUUCCCAUCAUCUG
rnacentral:tRNA from 1 species